rnacentral:rRNA from 1 species
GAUGAACGCUGGCGGCGUGCCUAAUACAUGCAAGUCGAGCGAACAGACGAGGAGCUUGCUCCUCUGACGUUAGCGGCGGACGGGUGAGUAACACGUGGAUAACCUACCUAUAAGACUGGGAUAACUUCGGGAAACCGGAGCUAAUACCGGAUAAUAUAUUGAACCGCAUGGUUCAAUAGUGAAAGACGGUUUUGCUGUCACUUAUAGAUGGAUCCGCGCCGCAUUAGCUAGUUGGUAAGGUAACGGCUUACCAAGGCGACGAUGCGUAGCCGACCUGAGAGGGUGAUCGGCCACACUGGAACUGUGACACGGUCCAGACUCCUACGGGAUGCAGCAGUAGGGAAUCUUCCGCAAUGGGCGAAAGCCUGACGGAGCAACGCCGCGUGAGUGAUGAAGGUCUUCGGAUCGUAAAACUCUGUUAUUAGGGAAGAACAAAUGUGUAAGUAACUAUGCACGUCUUGACGGUACCUAAUCAGAAAGCCACGGCUAACUACGUG